AUUGAACGCUGGCGGCAGGCCUAACACAUGCAAGUCGAAUGGUAACAGGAAACAGCUUGCUGUUUCGCUGACGAGUGGCGGACGGGUGAGUAAUGUCUGGGAAACUGCCUGAUGGAGGGGGAUAACUACUGGAAACGGUAGCUAAUACCGCAUAACGUCGCAAGACCAAAGAGGGGGACCUUCGGGCCUCUUGCCAUCAGAUGUGCCCAGAUGGGAUUAGCUAGUAGGUGGGGUAACGGCUCACCUAGGCGACGAUCCCUAGCUGGUCUGAGAGGAUGACCAGCCACACUGGAACUGAGACACGGUCCAGACUCCUACGGGAGGCAGCAGUGGGGAAUAUUGCACAAUGGGCGCAAGCCUGAUGCAGCCAUGCCGCGUGCAUGAAGAAGGCCUUCGGGUUGUAAAGUACUUUCAGCGGGGAGGAAGGGAGUAAAGUUAAUACCUUUGCUCAUUGACGUUACCCGCAGAAGAAGCACCGGCUAACUCCGUG
rnacentral:rRNA from 1 species